CUGGGCAAACAUAGUGCAUUUUAUGAUUAUGACUUUUUAGUGACUUGCUGCCCUUGGCUUGGCAUCACAUUCCAGAGUCUAUUAAGUGUGGGAGGGGGCAAAUGCCUGUGCUGUUUUGUCUCUGUUGGACUGUUUAUUGUACCUGUGCCAAUCCAGGGCAUCACUUACCUAGGAGCACUGCGAAGGUGGUGCUGCAGCAGGUGAAAGAAAGCUACCCAUCCAGGGUCAGUGUUAGCAAAUAAUUCUGUAAAGGAAUACGUAGAGGUAGAGUCUUUAAGGCAGGGGCGUGUCCAACGCGUCGGACCUUUUUGACACUAGGGAGGACCCGUACUUUGGGAUUCGGCUCGUACCGGUGACGUCACCGGAGGAAGGAGAACGGCGUCCAGCCGCUUCAAGGAGCCUGUUCCUCCCUUUGUCUAUACCCGAGUUUCUCCAAUUUAUAUGAUUUAUCCUCUAAUGAAUUAAGAAUUUUGUGCUGAUUUCAUCCUCUAAUGAAUUAAGAAUUUUGAUUGGAUUCAUUCUAGCAAUUUUACUAUUUCAUCUAUUGUUUUUAAUUGAACCUAUGAUUGGUGCUUUAUUAUUCUAUGUAUUAGAAUUGUUUCCUAUUUUAUGUAUAUUGAUUGUUCUGUGUAUAUAUUGAUAAAUUGUAAUUUUUAAUUUAUUGAUUCACUGUGCAAUAAAUAUCGAUUGGUUGAUUUUAUUUCACUUGGUGGUUUGUUUGAGCGCCAACUCUUUUAGAGUAAUAUUUGUGCACUUUGGGAUUAGUUUGGAGGAGGGCAGCUAAUCAACACACCUAGUUCACAUUGAUUUAAUUGAUAAUAUAGAGAUCACUCUUUACCACGUUUAAAUAUUUUUUUUUUUUCCCUCUUCACUUUCACUUAUACGGUUCUCCUUCUACUUAUCCUUAAGCGCAGACAAGGUUUAUUCAUAUAUAUUGCUGUUAAAGUACUGACAGUCGUAUAGGAUGGGACGGAGCAGGCAAAGACUAAGUUAGGGAGAUUAGCCAACAAUCAGGAGGUCCAGAGAUCAAACCCCAGAAGAGCCUAACAGUCAGACUGGAAAGAAGACUUUGUGAAUAGUCCCACAUGUAUAAAGGUAUCGGUGCUGAUUUAUUAAAUAUCAAAUUAGGUCAUCCAUGGGGAGUCACUGCUCUUAAAUUCCUGUCAGUGCUUAACAACCUGACACUUUUAUCAAGGAAAACGAGUAUAGCAUUUCCUCAGAGUGUGUUUGAUUGCUGUGAGUAGUCAAAGACCGUUGUAUUCUAUUCUUAUAAGGGCUUAGCAGCAGUGCUGUUGCUGGGAUGCACUAAUUUCAUUAAUAUUAAAUGCAUGAAGUCUAGUCAGACUUUCUAGAAGCAGCAGUGCUGUUGCUGGGCUUCACCGAUUUUAUUAACAUUAAAUACAUUAAGUCUAGUCAGACAUUAUAGAAGCACCCCUUUUUCAUAAGAUCUGCUAGCCUUACAUUGGAGGAAAAAAAGGAGAAUGGGCCAAAGUCCUACCCUAGUUUUGGGGUUUUUUGAUGAAGAGGUGCUAGAUUUGUCCAGCUCUAGUAAUCAAUAGCAACCACUAAGAUGUUUGUGAAGGCUACCUGUUGAUUAGUUGCAAAAGAUUACUAAACCAAAAGCAAACUUUGCACAGAUUCAGCUCUUUCACAUGCUUUGGUUUUGCCCCUCACCCCCUUUAAGCUGCAGUAGCAAGUCCUAGUAGCAGAGUCCUGCCUCCUUUCAGGAGUCAUCACAGGAGGGAGCAGAACAGGUGGAAUGGGGCUACACAGCUUGGGGAUGUGUCCAACAAUCAAUCAGUUUCAGAUCUGUGGAGAUUCCAAAGAAAUAAAACAUAGAGGAAGCCCCAAAUGACAUUCUAAUGUCCCAGAGGGCCAUGUGAGUUAGUGAUGGUAGCCGUAUCUAUUUUCAUACACCACACUGGCACAAGGUAAAUAAAAAAUGCUAGGUUUAUGUAUAUAUGCUCUCAUUUUUUCUGUUAUGGAACUAUAUUUGCCCUCUAUUUCCCCUUCUUCUUUCUGUACCCCCUCUACAACGUUCUUGAUAAAAACAAAUAAAAAUUGAAUUGAAAAAAAAUGCUUAUACACAGUCUUUGUGAAGAGACAAACAACUUUAUUAAAUAAUGGCAAACAGCAGAACGGAAACAGACUGAAGAAGCAAUGUGGAAAUGACAAUGUAAUUUACAGUAUUCUCACAGCUGUUGCAUUACACUCUCUCCGGAUUCUGUCCCAGCACAAACAGAAAUGCAUCCUCAUUUUAUUAUUAUAUAGGCAGAAUAUCAUCAAACUGAGGUUAAAAGAUUUGUAGACUGUGCAUGCACAUUUUAAACACACUGUGUUCUAUUAUACAGGACCUAGCAAAUACAGUCAUUAACCCCUGGCAGCGUAUGAUGAGUUCUUAAGUUCUGGAAGUCAAAAGAACUGAUACCCUGGUCACCCAACUCAGAUACACUGAUGGAGCACUGUUCUCUGGCGCAGGAGAGGAGCCAAAUCCCUUCAGUAUAGAAAGUCAUUCCUGGAGAAAAUGAUCUUAUUGAACUGAUACAGUUCUGACCAUAUGCAAACAGGUAGGCUGAACAAAAAUGGAGUCGCAGAGUGACGCACCUCAGUGAUUUUAUGGUUCAUAACCAAAGUAAUUUGUUGGUAACACAGCUAAUAUAAUUAAGGAAUGACAGAAUCAAAUAAAUGGUUAAGUCAGUUAACAUUACACUGCUUCCCCUUGAAUUAAAAAAAAAGAGAUUCUAAUGAUGAUUUUAAAGCAGCAGUUUUUGUUUGGGGAUCAGGAAUACAAACACAGUGAAAUAUGAAGCAAUAACUAGGUUGACUAUGUAUUUCUUAUAGUCUAAAGUGCCUUUUGCUGAAAGACUAAGUGCAAAGUUAUUAUUGGUUACUGACAUAAAACGGAUUGCCUGUUCAUACUGGUUGCCAAGAUAACCCAUAGCAGCAAUAAGCCAAAGCAUGCACGGUCCAAAUGAUAUCUCCUUCUGUACUGCAAUUGUAUAAACCAGCUCCAUGUCAUUAAAGGGUAACCUGCUCAACUAGCUACAGUACAAAGGAUCAUUGGCAAUUUCAAUACUAGGUGUGGACCUAAUUCAAUGGCAUGAAGUUGGGUUGUGGAAUAGUUCUAAAUGGUGGGUAAAGCACUGAGCAGAUUGUGGACACUUUUUACAUGCUUUGGAGGUGGCUAAUGUAACAAUGUACAGAUAGUACCAAAUAACAGAUCCACAGCUUGGCUUAAUAGAAACCUGGACUAGUGGGUAUAAGUAUUUCAGACAGAGGACAGCAGUGUCAUUCAUACUGUACUUUAACACUGAAGCUCUAGCAAUGCUCUAUAAGAUUUUGAGUAGGUAAAAUCUGCUUUGAAAUGUUUUUGUGCUUCUACAUCUGUCCACUAGAUUUCAAAUGAGAUUUUAUAAAAUGGCUGAUCACAAACACAGUGCAAACAUACUUCUCUUAUCCCUGAAAACACACUCUGCUUCUUGUAUUCUCCAUGCCUUUUGCUGGAGAUAAGCUCCACUGCAGGAAAUGGAAGCCCCACUAGGGCCACUCCAUACAAUUUAUUUUUUUUAAUUUUAAAACAUACAGCAUUGCAUUUCUUCCUGAAUGGUCCAAAAUACAGGAGCUUUGUAGAAGCCCCACUUCUGAAUGUACAAGUAAGGCACAGUUAUAAAAGCCACAUCACACAGACAAGAGUUACACCAACACAACAGUGUGUGUCUCUAGAGGGCACAAUGACUUAAAGCCUUAUGACAGGGUUUAUAAGACCUUUACAACAACACAUCUUACAGCAGAAUCCAUUUAGUAAAUGGUAAUACUGGAUUAAUAAGUCCAAUUGCCUCAGUUUGACAUUUGUUUUUGGUAUAAAGGUUAGGCCUCAAAUACAGAAAUUACCACAGUAUUAGCUGUACAUUUAAAUGACAGACCCCACCAAGUAUUAUAAGGACAGAAUAUUAACUGGUCCUUAAAAAUAAAACCCUUUUAAGGGAACACAUACCUUAUAAGUAAGGGUUUGCACUGAUUUCAAUAUCCCCUCAGUCAGUUACAUAGAGCAUAUAUUAUUGUGCAUAGAAUAUUCCUUUUUUUGUACAUUUUUGGAAGCAGUCAUCCUGCUUUCUUGGCUAAGGCCCAACUGCUCUGCUUCCCCAACCACCAGCCCACUGACCACCCCUCCUGCUGACACACAGCUUCUCUGAAAUGCUAUAUUGCUCCACACCAAAAAGGGAGCAGCACUGGGAGCUAUUUAAAUUUCCUGCCCAGUCCACUGUCUGGCUUCCAUGUUUGCUACAAGAAAUAGGGAGUCCUGCUGCAGUUGCAGGCCAACAAACCAGAGUGUUCUGGCAGCCUGCCACCUCUAACAACUUGCUAACCUAGGACACGGCUUAUGGCCUUCCCACAAAGUCCGAACCACAUAGUCCUGUCAUUGUUAUCAAUUUUCUCUGUUAAGCCAAUAACUGUCUUAAUUAUGAAUCAAAAGGUAAUUUCCUUCCAGGAUUGCGCUUACCAAAAAAGGAAUGUUCUGUGCACACAACAGACUGUGCCAACACAACAUACUGUCUAUUUAAGGAAAUGCUUUUUUAUAGACAAGUUGCAUUUUCCCUUUUAACUGCAAAGCAACAGCUUAACAAUCUCAAUGUGAAGAUCUGCAUGAGUGUUCCACCAUUCUCUAUGGUUGCUCAACCCAGCCUUGAUUGGUGUAGGCAUGAUGAGCAAUAUUUAACAAAUAUUACAAACAAGACAAAGUAUAACAUUGGAUGUAAAACACUGGGACAUACAACCCCAGGCUACAAGAACCUUAAAUUGGAUACUCAUGCAUCUAGCUGGGGAUUGUUUUUUCAAAAACAAAAUAAAGCAAAUGCUAUGGAGAAACCUAUAUAUGUUUUUUCUCAUACAUUUAAAAUAUUUUUAUGAGAGCAAGAACAUAUAUACCGAAUACAUUUACAUUUUCUUAUAUAAAUUUAUAUGUUUUAAUGACAAAAGAGAAAGCAGAUUACUGGCAUCGAAGUACGAUCUAGACCGUGUUUUAUUUAUUUAUUUUUUUUGUUGCUUUUUUGUUUGUUUUUUUUUUUUAAAUACCACAGAGUCUCCUGGUUAAACUGUAAAGCAGCACAACUUUCCUUUGUCACUGUCUUAUAGUGAGGAGGGUGCAAGGUGGCUCCUGGUGUUUGGGCCAGACUCAGAGAGUGUCCUAAUACAAUGUCCCAGAAGUGGGAAAGGUCUACAAAUCAUAUUGGUCCUGGAGGAAACAAAUAAGUUGGAUACUGCUUGAGUUGCUUAGCGUGAACUGAAUUUUGCUAAAGAUCAUUUUGAGCAAAACUGGUUUUUAGCUUAACACCUAGUUGCAUUUUGCAUUUAAUAGUUGAAGUUUUUAAGGUCAAAAAUGUUCUCCACUGUCCUUUGUUGCAUCUUCUUUAAUGCAACAUCUUCAGUAGUAUAAUCCUAUUAAUUGUAUUUUGUUUAAAAUCAAAUGGCAUUAAAAAAUGAGUGAAUGUGUGAUACAUUUUGGAGCAAAAAUCCAGCCAAUCAUGUUUAGAUUUCAGGACCUGUAGAAAAGGACUAUAUGACCAACACUGCCUGACCAUGUCCCUGAACAUGAAGUCAAAUCAACAACUGUGUGAGUCAAUUCAAACCUGAGGCUUAGCUUCCUUCUGUAUCUUACUGACAGCUUGAAUUUCUAUUCCGAUCAAGUAUUGCUGCAGUAUACAGAGCAGUCCAGAUUUAGCAGCAAAUGGCAG